CAGACGGGUGAGUAACGCGUGGUCAACCUACCGUUGAGUGGGGGAUAACUAGCCGAAAGGUUAGCUAAUACCGCAUACGAGUCUUGGGGGCAUCCCCGGGCCUUAAAAGGAGCAAUCCGCUCGAUGACGGGACCGCGUCCCAUUAGCUAGAUGGUGGGGUAAUGGCCUACCAUGGCUCCGAUGGGUAGCUGGUUUGAGAGAGCGACCAGCCACACUGGGACUGAGAAACGGCCCAG
rnacentral:rRNA from 1 species